rnacentral:rRNA from 1 species
AUGGGACGGCACGCGGGCACCGGCGGCGGCGGCGGCGUCCAGCAGAAGCUGCGCAAGGGGCUGUGGUCUCCCGAGGAGGACGAGAAGCUCUACAACCACAUCAUCCGCUACGGCGUCGGGUGCUGGAGCUCCGUGCCCAAGCUCGCCGGUACGCUCCCUCCCCGCAAAGCUACUUAUAAUUCCAACUCCGCCCGUCUGUUUUCUUGCAUGUGUUGGCGCUUAAUGAGGAGUGUGCUCAAUGAUCCAGGUCUGCAGAGGUGCGGCAAGAGCUGCCGGCUGCGGUGGAUCAACUACCUGCGCCCCGACCUGAAGCGGGGAAGCUUCUCGCAGCAGGAGGAGGACGCCAUCGUCGGCCUGCAUGAGAUCCUGGGGAACAGGUGGUCGCAGAUAGCGUCUCACUUGCCGGGCCGGACGGACAACGAGAUCAAGAACUUUUGGAACAGCUGCCUCAAGAAGAAGCUGCGGCAGCGCGGCAUCGACCCCAGCACCCACAAGCCCAUCUCCGGCGUGGCGGGGGUGGAACCGGACCAGGCGUCGAAAGACGAGAGGCCGCAGGGAGCCGACGGUAUAGCCCUGAAGCAGCAGCAGCAGCAGGUGUUCGACCCUUUCCCGGUGGCCGACACCUUCGGCGCCGGCUUCGACGGGGCGGGCAUGCCGCUGUACGACCACCUCGGCGGCAAGGACGCGGCCGGGUUCGUGGACUACAGCAGCGUGCUGGACGUGUCGGAGAACCUGGGCUACGGCGAGAGCUCCAGCAACAGCAGCAACUGGAACAGCGCGCCGGAGGCGAGCAAUGCGCUGGAGGGCGAGGCGCUGCAUUGGGCCUCCGAGAGCAAGGUGGAGCCUUUCGCCGCCUACGCCGGCGACGAGGACGGCAAGUUCGCGCUGCCCUGCCACGGCCAGCAAGAGCACAGCAUGGCGCAUUUUGACUUCAACCUCGAGUACUUCUGA